CCUACGGGAGGCAGCAGUGGGGAAUAUUGGACAAUGGGCGAAAGCCUGAUCCAGCAAUGCCGCGUGAGUGAUGAAGGCCUUAGGGUUGUAAAGCUCUUUUACCAGGGAUGAUAAUGACAGUACCUGGAGAAUAAGCUCCGGCUAACUCCGUGCCAGCAGCCGCGGUAAUACGGAGGGAGCUAGCGUUGUUCGGAAUUACUGGGCGUAAAGAGUACGUAGGCGGUUAUUCAAGUCAGAGGUGAAAGCCCGGGGCUCAACCCCGGAACUGCCUUUGAAACUAGAUAGCUAGAAUCUUGGAGAGGUCAGUGGAAUUCCGAGUGUAGAGGUGAAAUUCGUAGAUAUUCGGAAGAACACCAGUGGCGAAGGCGACUGACUGGACAAGUAUUGACGCUGAGGUACGAAAGCGUGGGGAGCAAACAGGAUUAGAUACCCUGGUAGUCCACGCCGUAAACGAUGAUAACUAGUUGUUCGGGCACUUGGUGCCUGAGUGACGCAGCUAACGACAUUAAGUUAAUUCCGUCCGUCGGGUAGGUACGGUCGGCGAAGAAUUAAAACUUAACAAAUAGAAUUAGUACGGCGUGAGACGUAGCCGAACGGACGACGAACGAAGGGAGGUAGG
rnacentral:rRNA from 1 species